rnacentral:lncRNA from 1 species
UUAAAUUUUAAAUCUAAAAAUAAAAAAUAAAAAAUUUAUGAAAAGGAUUUUAAAAUCUAUGCAGAGUGAAUUUAUAAAAAAAAAGAAAAAUUUAAAAAAUAUUGAUUAAAAUUAAAAUUAAAAUUUUUGGAAAUACAAAUCAGAUCUCGGUAGUGUAUAAUGAAACACCCUAAAACAUAUGUUCAACAAAAGUAUGGGCUUAUCUACAAACCCAUCUAAGUGAUGGGGUUACUCUCUAUACCUCCCCAAUUCCAACUCCCACCCCCCAAUUUUUUUGAUAUUUUUUUAAAUACAAAAUUAACCUUUAUGUAUUUUUUAUUUUUACCGUUUUACCCCUAUUUACUAAAUUUAACCUACCCUACUUCUUUUAAAACACAUAGAGAUUCCUCUCCUUCGUAUUCCCACCCCCACCCCCACCAAAGCUUUCAUUUUUGAAAUGCUCUCUGCAGGCGCGGAGGGUGCUGGUGCGGCGGUGCGGGGCGAUGGUUCUUGCUUCGACAGGUUAGUUUCUUUUAAUUUCUUCUUUCUUUUUUUUUAAACGUAUGUAACGUGUAGGAUUGGGUAGCUUUAUUUGUUGAUAUCUAGUUGGUGUGUUUGUUGAGAUUGGUCUGCUGUCAGUUGAGUUUUGUGUCAUCUCUGUGCUGUGUGCAGUGAGAAAGAAGACGUCCAGGCACUGAAACGGAUGUAGAUAUCCGUCAACGGAUGACAUUCGUUUCCUACAAAGUAAACUAAUAAAAACAAAUCUUAAAAAAUAAGACUAAUAAAAUAAAAAUCUAAUAAAAACAAAUCCUAAAAAAUAAAACUAAUAAAAACAAAUCUUAAAAUAUAAAUCUUAAAAAAAUAAAACUAAUAAAAACAAAUCCUAAAAAAUGAAACUAAUAAAAACAAAUCUUAAAAAAGUAAACUAAUAAAAACA